UAACGCACUCGCACUAGGCUCCAAGCUGUGUGUGAGCGCUGCGUGGAGUGUCAGCACGCUGUGGACUCGGGAGUCCUUUCCCACGGUCGUCAGAUUUACUGGCAAUGGGUUCGUCAGCUCCGUAGCCAGAGUGGGAUCGAUGGUGGCCCCACAGAUUAUAACGCUGAGUCGUGAUAUCAAAGGACUGCUGUACUUGGUUUGCGGUAUCGUCUGUCUGUUAUCCACUGGCAUGUGUGUAUUUCUGGACGAAACAAAGAACCGCGACCUUCCCGACAUGAUUCAGCGUCAUCAAACGCGCUCUGAUACGCGCAUAAAAAUGAAGCACGCGCAGAAAUACUGACAUUUUUAAACACGCCAAUUUCUCUUGCCAUGAAAAUCCUGACAUUUGCCUCCAUAUUCACAUGAACACAAGGCCAAGAUAAGUAUGUAUUUUGUGAGAUUUGUAGAAAAAAUGUGUUGGCGUUGACCUAUAAGUAGGUAUUGUGUGAGAUUUGUAAAAUAAAGUGUUAGCCUUUUUAGUUUUUACACAUAGAAAGUCGCAUAUGUACUAUACACGCAGAUUGAAAUGAUUUUGUAUGCUAGCUUCUCUCAAAACCUUUUAACAUUCGUUUUACGGGAUAAAAAAUGUUCAUCAAAACAUUUUGUGGGCGGAGCGAUCAUCUCAAAGGCAAUGUGUUAAUUGUGGCGUUUUAGCAUUCAUCGCAAGCCUGAAGUACAACACAAUUGCGUCUCGGUCUACACACAGUGUAGUGUGCGUGUUUGAUGCAUGAUAAAGUAGCCGAAAACCUGCUAUCAUUUAGAUCGGACGAAUAAUCACAGUGCCCUAUUGACGAGCUACGGAUACCUUUGCUGUCUUGUGGAGUUCGUAUUAAACCGUAUAAAAAUGUAACUUUAAAGAACUGUCACAUUUUUAAAAUGACUUUAAUACUAGAAUAGUGAAUUGUCAACAGUUGUCACAGUUUUUCAUUGAAUAACAUGUUUAAUUUAAAAUUGCUCACUGUGGACAUCAUCCAUCCAUGGUGAAGUGAAGUGUUCAUCCAUAGUUAC